UACGUAGGAUGCGAGCGUUAUCCGGAUUUAUUGGGUUUAAAGGGUGCGUAGGCGGACUGUCAAGUCAGCGGUAAAAUUGAGAGGCUCAACCUCUUCCCGCCGUUGGAACUGGUGGUCUUGAGUGGAUGAGAAGUACGCGGAAUGCGUGGUGUAGCGGUGAAAUGCAUAGAUAUCACGCAGAACUCCGAUUGCGAAGGCAGCGUACCGGCAUCCAACUGACGCUGAGGCACGAAAGCGUGGGGAUCAAACAGG
rnacentral:rRNA from 1 species